rnacentral:rRNA from 1 species
AGAUAACACUUGGAAACAGGUGCUAAUACCGCAUAACCAUGAACACCGCAUGAUGUUCAUGUAAAAGACGGCUUUUGCUGUCACUUUUGGAUGGGCCUGCGGCGUAUUAACUUGUUGGUGGGGUAACGGCCUACCAAGGUGAUGAUACGUAGCCGAACUGAGAGGUUGAUCGGCCACAUUGGGACUGAGACACGGCCCAAACUCCUACGGGAGGCAGCAGUAGGGAAUCUUCCACAAUGGACGAAAGUCUGAUGGAGCAACGCCGCGUGAAUGAAGAAGGCCUUCGGGUCGUAAAAUUCUGUUGUCAGAGAAGAACGUGCGUGAGAGUAACUGUUCACGUAUUGACGGUAUCUGACCAGAAAGCCACGGCUAACUACGUGCCAGCAGCCGCGGUAAUACGUAGGUGGCGAGCGUUGUCCGGAUUUAUUGGGCGUAAAGGGAACGCAGGCGGUCUUUUAAGUCUGAUGUGAAAGCCUUCGGCUUAACCGAAGUAGUGCAUUGGAAACUGGAAGACUUGAGUGCAGAAGAGGAGAGUGGAACUCCAUGUGUAGCGGUGAAAUGCGUAGAUAUAUGGAAGAACACCAGUGGCGAAAGCGGCUCUCUGGUCUGUAACUGACGCUGAGGUUCGAAAGCGUGGGUAGCAAACAGGAUUAGAUACCCUG